UACGUAGGGGGCGAGCGUUGUCCGGAGUUACUGGGCGUAAAGGGCACGCAGGCGGUGCGGCGCGUUUCGCGUGACAGCGGAGGGCUUAACUCUCCGAGGAUGCGAAAGACGGCGGCACUUGAGGGCCAAAGAGGGACACGGAAUUCCGGGUGGAGUGGUGAAAUGCGUAGAGAUCCGGAGGAACACCGAAGGCGAAGGCAGUGUCCUGGCUGGUGACUGACGCUGAGGUGCGAAAGCUAGGGGAGCGAACGGG
rnacentral:rRNA from 1 species